CUCGGGUGAUCCGCCCACCUCGGCCUCCCAAAGUGUUGGGAUUACAGGCGUGAGCCGCCGCGCCUGGCCUAGAUUCCUGAAACCUUACGCCUCUUAGAAGGUAGAUGGUUUGGCUUUGCAGCUGAUCUGCUUUGUACUUCCACAGCCUCACGACACGCUCUCCCAUCCUCUCAACAGGAAAGAUUCUGGAGCUCGGCCGAGAGGGAUGUGUGAGUGGAGACCAGUGAAGUAACAGUUUUUGUGUUACGAUGAUUUCUGUUUUCCUCUGCUGCCCUGUAAUGACAGGAACUCGGAUAGUCUGGUCUUCAGACCAGGAGGACUCCCAGGAGAGAAUGGAGAGCCAGCAUGCUGUGUGUCACGGUCCCUGGAUGAACGUUUGUGGAACUGGAUUGAAUUAAACAAGACGUGCAAAGCAAGUGGUUCACGAGUCUAUUGUCUGGAUGCACCACCGUUUCUUUAUCCAUUCUCCUACUGAAGACAUUUGGGUUAUAUCCAGCUUGGUCCACUAUGAAUAAAGCCACCAUUGACCUUCAUGUACAGGGUCUUGCUCUGUCGCCAAGUCUGGAGUGCAGUGGCAAGAUCUCUGCUCACUGCAGCCUUGAACUCUCAGGCUCAAGAAAUCUUCC